GAUCAGUGGCGAACGGGUGAGUAACACGUGAGUAACCUGCCCUUGACUCUGGGAUAAGCGUUGGAAACGACGUCUAAUACCGGAUACGACCUUCGGAGGCAUCUCCUGGGGGUGGAAAGAAUUUCGGUCAAGGAUGGACUCGCGGCCUAUCAGCUAGUUGGUGAGGUAAUGGCUCACCAAGGCGACGACGGGUAGCCGGCCUGAGAGGGUGACCGGCCACACUGGGACUGAGACACGGCCCAGACUCCUACGGGAGGCAGCAGUGGGGAAUAUUGCACAAUGGGCGCAAGCCUGAUGCAGCAACGCCGCGUGAGGGACGACGGCCUUCGGGUUGUAAACCUCUUUUAGUAGGGAAGAAGCGAAAGUGACGGUACCUGCAGAAAAAGCACCGGCUAACUACGUGCCAGCAGCCGCGGUAAUACGUAGGGUGCAAGCGUUAUCCGGAAUUAUUGGGCGUAAAGAGCUCGUAGGCGGUUUGUCGCGUCUGCUGUGAAAACUGGAGGCUCAACCUCCAGCCUGCAGUGGGUACGGGCAGACUAGAGUGCGGUAGGGGAGAUUGGAAUUCCUGGUGUAGCGGUGGAAUGCGCAGAUAUCAGGAGGAACACCGAUGGCGAAGGCAGAUCUCUGGGCCGUAACUGACGCUGAGGAGCGAAAGCAUGGGGAGCGAACAGGAUUAGAUACCCUGGUAGUCCAUGCCGUAAACGUUGGGAACUAGAUGUAGGGACCAUUCCACGGUUUCUGUGUCGCAGCUAACGCAUUAAGUUCCCCGCCUGGGGAGUACGGCCGCAAGGCUAAAACUCAAAGGAAUUGACGGGGGCCCGCACAAGCGGCGGAGCAUGCGGAUUAAUUCGAUGCAACGCGAAGAACCUUACCAAGGCUUGACAUAUACCGGAAAAGUUCAGAAAUGUUCUCCCCGCAAGGUCGGUAUACAGGUGGUGCAUGGUUGUCGUCAGCUCGUGUCGUGAGAUGUUGGGUUAAGUCCCGCAACGAGCGCAACCCUCGUUCUAUGUUGCCAGCACGUAAUGGUGGGAACUCAUAGGAGACUGCCGGGGUCAACUCGGAGGAAGGUGGGGAUGACGUCAAAUCAUCAUGCCCCUUAUGUCUUGGGCUUCACGCAUGCUACAAUGGCCGAUACAAAGGGCUGCAAUACCGUAAGGUGGAGCGAAUCCCAAAAAGUCGGUCUCAGUUCGGAUUGAGGUCUGCAACUCGACCUCAUGAAGUCGGAGUCGCUAGUAAUCGCAGAUCAGCAACGCUGCGGUGAAUACGUUCCCGGGCCUUGUACACACCGCCCGUCAAGUCAUGAAAGUCGGUAACACCCGAAGCCAGUGGCCUAACCGCAAGGAAGGAGCUGUCGAAGGUGGGAUCGGUGAUUAGGACUAAGUCGUAACAAGGUAGCCGUACCGGGAGGGUGCGGCUG
rnacentral:rRNA from 1 species